rnacentral:lncRNA from 1 species
CCCAUCUCUCAGAAGUCCAGAUAGGGCAUAGCCCCUCACAUCAAGAGGUUGUUCAACUUUAGGAACAUCCUAUUCUUCUCAGUACAAAAAUGGGAUGUCCUAUUACAGACCAGUCUAGGAUUUAAGAGAAGUUAACCCAUGAAUCGUAUCUCUGUACUCUACCAUUCUCAACCCAUAUACCCUCCUGAGUUUGCUGUCUCCUGAGCACCAAGUAUAUACUGUGCUAGAUUUAAAAGAUAUUUUUUCAGUCUGCCUCUUUCCUCAGCUAGCCAGCCUAUAUUUGCCUUCUAAUGGACUGACCCAGCUUCCAAUGAUUCUUGGCAACUCAUUUGGACCUGGCUCCCUCAAGGAUUCAAGAAUGCAACCACUCUGUUCUGUGAGGCCUUCCAGAAGGACUUAUUUGUUGAGUUUUUGAUCCCAUGACCCUAACCUCACCUUGCUUCAAUAUGUGGAAGAUCUGUUGUUAGCUGCUGCCAUUUGUUCAGAAUGCCUUCAGGAAACAAGAGCUCCUACAAUUGCUAGAGGAGUUGGGCUAAUGUGUCUUGGCUAAAAAGGCACAACUCUGUGCUUCCCAUGCAUCGUACCUGUGGUAUGAGACCUCAAAAGGAAGAAAAACUUUGUCUCAGGCAAGGAAAUGGGCCAUUCUCCAGAUACCCAUGCCAACUACCAAGAAACAGGUACAAGAAUUUCUAGGUGCAGCUGGAUACUGUGGCCUCUGGAUACCUGGGUUUGCCAAGAUAGUACAGCCCUGAAAUCAACCCCUAGAGUGGAGAAGAAAAGAAGAAAAGGUGUUCCAGGAUUUAAAACAAGCUCUGGUGUCAGCCCCGACUCUGGUGUUGCCUGGCAUCAAUCACCAAACUGUUCCAACUGUUCACUCAUGAGGUUCUCAGUCUGGCAACACUGAUGCCACAUGAUGACCCCAAUACCCCAAUGCAUGACUGUGAGGAGGUGUUGGACCACACCUAGGGAGGCUGCUCAGACCUAAUGGACAUCCCCCAGCUGAGGCUGACACCACUCUCUUCACUGAUGGAAGUAGCAUGGUGGUAAGCGGGGUGCGGAAGAACAAAAUUCAUGGCACAGCUGUACCAAGUAUUGGAGGCUGGCAAGAUCAGGAUAUUCAAGAGUUCCAUUGGCAUGGUGAAUCUGGUUGACAUGGUGCGAUGACUGAAAACUUGAAGGCAGUCUUGCUGGCUUCCACUCCUCACCUCCACAGGGAAAGUCCUUAAGUCACAUCUGCAGGGCCCUGUCCUGGCUCCAUGACUUUGAGCAGAAGAAACAGCAAGAAGAGGCCCACUGUCUCCUUGAACCUGAAGCCGGCCCCUCGCCUGAGGGGCAGACUUGCAUCCUGCAAUCUUGUCUUCCUGCCAAGCAUCCCCCACCACUCUGAGACCUACACAAGAGCCAGACUGGGUCACCAAGUUUGUGCAGAGGAAGGAAGGAAGGGACCUGGCAGAGCAAGUGAAGGUGAGGGCUGGGUAGCAUCCUCGAGUCAGUGGAUGCAGAGUCACCUCUGCUGACGGAACCAGCCAUCACUAGUCAAACAGUACCCGAGCAGAGGGGUGAGGAUUAAGAAAGAAAAACACUGACUCAAAGGAAAAGAAAAAGGAGAGAGGAGGAGAGACCUCUCUCCCCACUUUAUUGACCCUUUUAUAUCCUUUCCACAGUUCCCCUCCCCUCCUCACCACAUGAUCAGGUGACUAGUUUACAGAGAAAAGGUCAAGUGUAUCUUUACAAUUCCAGGGAUGUUAUUUCUUUGCUUUGCAGACAUUCAGAUUCUUUCUAUUUUUACUACUCUCUUCACAAGUCAACAUCCUUGUUUUCGUGCCAGUUUCAUAUCCAGGGUUCAUUAUACUCUCAAGAGGCUCAGAGGUCUUUCAAGGUUGUUUCAACCCUUCGCUCUCCACACUCUGCAUCCUUCUGAGCCGUGGUCACCUGUCCUUCUCUGGGCACCACUCCCCAUGCACUGUGUACCCAUGGUUGGCCUUGGUGAUGGGUCUGGGCCCUGGAUGCAAUGGAGGGAGGAGUCUGACCAGGCUGUGGCCCAGGAAGGGAUGCAGACUUCCUGCCCCAGGCAGCAAGGGUGACUUGCCAGUUUGAGGUUCAGAGGGACUCCUGGAACCCUCAUUGCUCUAGAGGAUGGCAGGGUCCCUGCAGGAGUCUCCUCACUGCUGUGUCCCCCCCCCAGGAGAAAGAAGUGAGAGGAGUGGCUGCAGCAGGCCCUCAGGGUGGAUGAGGAUGAGGAAAACCUGGAAGAGGAACACAUCACAAAGGUUAAGAUGCUAAGGCCUAGAUCCUUCUUUGUCGGGCUGCCCUCCACAUGCACACACACACAGUCAUGCACCAUUUUUCUCUUUUCCUGUCCUUGCUCUGAAAUCCCUGAGGAGAGGGAGUGUCCAGCUCAGACUUCAUCUCUUGCUAUGGGAGAUGCAUGGGAGAUGCAUGCCUCCAUAGUGCUCCCGGACAGUGAGGGCCUGCCACAUGAAGACACAGCAGCAGGGACACUGCCUUUCCAAGAUCCUAAACCCUGGCUGAAGGCACAGUUGCAUGGGUGGCUUCCUUUGGUGCCAUGUGAUGCAAGGCAAUGCCAUGUUACUAGGGACCUGCAUUUGCAGCCACCUUCCUUGUUCCCUCAGGCCCUUGAUACUUGAUGUACAGAGAGCAUUUGGGGCUGUUAGCAUCCCCUCUUUGACUUCCCCUUCAUCUGCUCUGAGCAGAUUACUGCAACCAGAUGCUUUUGUCCUUUUGUCCUUGGCUCUAUUGAUAUAGUGUAUUACAUUGAUUGAUUUGCAUAUGUUGAACCAUCCCUGCAUCCCUGGGAUGAAUCCCACUUGGUCAGGGUGUAUGAUCUUCUGCAUUCUAUUUGCCAGUAUCUUACUAAGGAUUUUUGCAUCUAUGUUCAUUAGUGAGAUUGGCCUAUAGUUCUCUUUUUCAGUUGGGUCUUUCUCUGCUUGAACAAAGCAUUCUUGCAAGAAGUGAAUCUUAGGUUAAUGGGAACUUGUUCUUUCCCUUAUAUUAAAAUUAACUUCUUAUACAGGUUGAGCAAGAACCAUGGGCUUUUCAGCUGUAGAUACUCUCAGCUAAUACAGGCCCCACAGAGCCAUUAACCUGGGUUGGUCUCAGCCAUGGCCAGUGGCAGUUACAUUCUCUUUCUGCACACUAGCUGCAGCCAUUAAGCUGUGCACUUAUGCCUUAGACUAGUUCUGAAUUAAACCAAUUGUAUCUGCCAGUUGAAUAUAAUCAAAGCCAUGUCAAUACCAUCUUAAGGUAAUCUCCUUCAUGAGAUAUUCAGGAAGUAGUACUUCAAUCCUGGCCUUUAUUAAUAAUCCCUGUGAGCAGCAAUAUCCCUCACUGCACUUAGAAGUGUAUGUGAGACACUUCUAAGCUACUGUUCAAAUAGGGUUAGUUAGGUCCGGGGAUUUAGCUCAGUGGUUCCAACCCCUGCCUCGCAAACUCAAGGUCCCAAGUUCGAUCCCUGGUACCACAAAAUAAAACCCAAAGGCAGAACAAGGAAAACUAUCAUUACUCCUAAUGAACAUGAAUGCAAAUAGGGUUACUUAUUAAAUACACUUAACAUGUAAAUGAUGAUGAUGUGUUGUAAUAAUAAGAUUACUGAUUUAUUUAACCCUAAGUUGUCUGAAAUUAAAAAAUAUUAUUGUGUUAAUUAUGAAUAAAGUCAUAAACAGAAAAAACAUUUGAUUCAACAUAAAGUUUAUCUUAGGCAUUAGCUAUCUAAUUCUAAAUGACGACAGCUGUAUUUCUCUCAUUUUUAGUAAUAAACUAAAAUUUGUGUAUUAAAUGUGACAUGGCUAUAUUAUAAAUUUAGAUGUGUGUUUUUCUGAAG